rnacentral:rRNA from 1 species
GAUGAACGCUGGCGGCGUGCCUAAUACAUGCAAGUCGAGCGAACAGACGAGGAGCUUGCUCCUCUGACGUUACCGACGGACGGGUUAGUAACACGUGGAUAACCUACCUAUAAGCCUGCGAUAACUUCGGGGAACCGCAGCUAAUACCGGGUAAUAUAUUCAACAACAUGGUUCAAUAGUAAAAUACAAUGUUGAUGUCACUUAUAGAUUGAUCCGCGCUGCAUUAGCUAGUGCGUAAGGUAACGGCUUACGAAGACAACGAUGCAUAGCAGACCUGAGAGGGUGAUCGGCCACGCUGGAACUGAGACACGUUCCAGAAUACUACGGGAGGGAGCAGUAGGGAAUCCUCAGAAAUGGGCGAAAGCCUGACGGAGCAACGCCGCGGGAGUGAUGAAGGUAUUCGCAUCGUAAGACUCUGUUAUUAGGGAAGAACAAAUGUGUAAGUAACUAUGCACGGCGUGACGGUACCUAAUCAGAAAGCCACGGCUAACUACGUG